UACGGGGGGCGAGCGUGUUCGGUGAAUAUCGUGGCGUAAAGGGCUCGUAGGCGGCCAACUAAGUCAGACGUGAAAUCCCUCGGCUUAACCGGGGAACUGCGUCUGAUACUGGAUGGCUUGAGGUUGGGAGAGGGAUGCGGAAUUCCAGGUGUAGCGGUGAAAUGCGUAGAUAUCUGGAGGAACACCGGUGGCGAAGGCGGCAUCCUGGACCAAUUCUGACGCUGAGGAGCGAAAGCCAGGGGAGCAAACGGG
rnacentral:rRNA from 1 species